CCUACGGGGGGCAGCAGUGGGGAAUAUUGCGCAAUGGGCGAAAGCCUGACGCAGCGACGCCGCGUGAGGGAUGAAGGUCUUCUGAUCGUAAACCUCUGUCAGCAGGGAAGAACGGUCACUGUGCUAAUCAGCAGUGAAUUGACGGUACCUGCAAAGGAAGCACCGGCUAACUCCGUGCCAGCAGCGGCGGUAAUACGGAGGGGGCGAGCGUUAAUCGGAAUUACUGGGCGUAAAGCGCUCGUAGGCGGUAUGUCAAGUCAAGGGUGAAAUCCCCGCGCUCAACGUGGGAACUGCCUUUGAAACUGGCAAACUGGAGUGUGUGAGAGGAGAGUGGAAUUCCAGGUGUAGGAGUGAAAUCCGUAGAUAUCUGGAGGAACAUCAGUGGCGAAGGCGACUAUCUGGAACAUAACUGACGCUGAGGAGCGAAAGCGUGGGUAGCAAACAGGAUUAGAUACCCGUGUAGUC
rnacentral:rRNA from 1 species